rnacentral:rRNA from 1 species
UACGAAGGGGGCUAGCGUUGCUCGGAAUCACUGGGCGUAAAGGGUGCGUAGGCGGGUCUUUAAGUCAGGGGUGAAAUCCUGGAGCUCAACUCCAGAACUGCCUUUGAUACUGAGGAUCUUGAGUUCGGGAGAGGUGAGUGGAACUGCGAGUGUAGAGGUGAAAUUCGUAGAUAUUCGCAAGAACACCAGUGGCGAAGGCGGCUCACUGGACCGGUACUGACGCUGAUGCGCGAAAGCGUGAGGAGCAAACAGG